GAUGAAGAACGCAGCAAAAUGCGAUAAGUAAUGUGAAUUGCAGAAUUCAGUGAAUCAUCGAAUCUUUGAACGCACAUUGCGCCCGCUGGUAUUCCGGCGGGCAUGCCUGUUCGAGCGUCAUUUCAACCCUCAAGCCCCCGGGUUUGGUGUUGGGGAUCGGCUCUGCCCUUCUGGGCGGUGCCGCCCCCGAAAUACAUUGGCGGUCUCGCUGCAGCCUCCAUUGCGUAGUAGCUAACACCUCGCAACUGGAACGCGGCGCGGCCAUGCCGUAAAACCCCAACUUCUGAAUGUUGGCCUCGGAUCAGGUAGGAAUACCCGCUGAACUUAAGCAUAUCAAUAAGCGGAGGA
rnacentral:misc_RNA from 1 species